UAGAGAUUAACUAAUGUUAUGUUUUGUAGACAAAAACUGAAAAUGUUGGAUAUUUAAGUGUCGUAAUGAGUUAACGUUAUGUAUAAAAUGUUUUAAAAUUUAAUAAAAUUUUCUAUUAAAAAAAAGAAAAGAAAAGAAAAAAGAAAAAACAGUUGGCUCCGAGGAAUGCGUUACUCGGGAGUAAGC